CUUAUAUAUCCCUGUGUAGGAAUUUCCACAAGACACGCCCCUUAUUGGAAAGCGCAGUGGACUUUCCAGGCAAGGCUGGAAUGCACAGAGCGAAAGUAGGAGGCAUAGAAAUGGGGGAGCUGAAGAAGGAAACUUGCUGAUUAAAGUGUUUUUUUAAAAGUCUGAAUCACAGUUAAAAAGAAAACGUUACUUUAUUUCUGGCUACUAACCAGUUUGCUCCAGUAACAUUAAUUCAUUUGACAAGAAACUUUUAUACAAAGCCUCUUAACUAGAAAGGAGAAAGCAGUUUGUGGUCAAAUUCCCAACAGCACCAAGAUCUCAGCAUGAAAUAACUGAAUAGCAAAAUAAUAAGAUUAAAUGUUUAAAUUAAAAAAAAACAAGCAUUGAACUUAGCCAUUACAUGCAAUUUUAUUUAAUUACUUAGAUUUUCAUGUAACCUUUACAAAUCUAAAAUCUAAAUGGGGAAAAAAAAAAUUAAAAUAUACUUAAACAAUUAUUUCACAUUUUAAUUAUUUAAUUAUGCAUCAUUGUGAAUUCCUUUUAUAUUAGCGCACUCAUCUCCCCAUAGACAGUAAGUGUUUCACAAUCAGAUGUAAUCCCGGGUUCAAAAGACCCCUGGAAUUUCCCAAGACGAGUUAGAGUCAGAGUCAGAGGUGGAAAGUAUUUAAAUAAUUAAAAUUUAUAACUGUUAAGGAUUUUUAGGAGUAUAAGUGAAAGUCUGAGUAUAAGUGAAAGUAAUUUGUGCUUCUGGUAAAACCUUUUAACCUUUUUGUUGUUGUUACUGUUGUUGUCCUUCAGCUGCUCCCUAUUCAGGGUUGCCAAAGCGGGCACAUAUUUGAUUUUGGCACAGGUUUAACACCAGAUGUCUGUUCUAAAACAACCCUGCUAUUUUAUCCAGGCUUGGGACAAGCAUUGAGACUUAACCCCUAAGUUGGUUUCCUGUCUGGGAAUCGAACCCAGCUAUGGUGAGAGCGCAGGAUCCUGCCACUGGACCACCAGGGACCGUUGAUGUUUGUUAUUAAAGUAUUCUUUUUAUCCAGCUAUCAGUUCCAGCUAUUGUGAUUUUGUGCAUCCAUCUAUCCAUCCAUCAGUUUUCUGUAGCACUUAUCCUACACAGGGUGAGAGGAAACCUGGACACAGGGCACAAGGGCAGGGGAUUUACCAUAAAGGCAGCCAGCAUAUCACAGGGCACAAUCACACAAGUUCACAUACUAUUUACAAACUACAGAUAAUUUAGAGAUGCCGAUCAGGCUACAACACGUCCUUGGACCGGGGGAAGGAAAUCAGAGUACCUCAAGGAAACCCUUGAAGCACAUGGAGAGCUUGCAAACUCCACAGCUGAGGUGGGAAUCGAAGCCUCAAACGCAGAGGUGUGAGACAAAUGUGAUUUUGUGAUUUUACAGGAAUCUCUUAGAGGAACCGCCUGAUUUUGAAGAAAUGAAUCCAAACUGAAUUGGAAAUCAAUUUGGUAUUUUUUAUUAUUUAUUUUAUUGUAUUUUUUUUUUUUUGCACAAUCCCAUCGAAAAUAUAAGACUGAUGUGGUCUGAUUUUUCCUAAAUUUUCUAAAAUGUACACUAUAUUGACAAAAGUUUUGGGACACCCCUCCAAUUAAUCAUUGAAUUCAGGUGUUGUUUUUCAAGGGUUGGGCUCGGCCCCUUAGUUUCAGUGAAUGGAACUCUUAAUGCUUCAUCAAGUCAGGGCAAAUAUGCUGCUAACUUGCUGCGACAAAUCUAGAGGUUCACACAAGACUAAUGGUCAUUCUGAUGGCAUUUGUGUGAACCAGGAAUUGGCAAAUAUGUUGGAAGAGAUUAUACCUGUAUUUCACAAAUCAGACAAGUGUCUCACCAGAGGCACCUGAGGCUCUAUAGAGAUUAUGUAAUAUCCUGUUCUUUUAACGUGUUAAAUAAGUUCUCACACGUCCUGUGGUUUAGACCUGUUUUUUAGACCUAUUUGCUUACGCUCACAUGGUCAUGGGAAGAUCUAUGCAUAGGUUGCAAAACUGUACUGAUCCUGACAAUCAUCAAAAGAUAAAAGUGAGUGUACAACCAACUGUCGACUGCAGUGUGGAAAACUUUCAUGCAGGUCGAGAGCUUCAGUUAAUGUUCACAUUAAACAUCAGAAUGGAGGAGAUCUCAGUGGCCUUGCCAUGUUUGUUUGAGGAUUUCAGUAUCUGCUGAUAUCCUGAGAUUACAUACACGUCUCUAGAGUUUACACAAAAUGGUGUUUUAAAAAAGAAUGGAAAUAAAUAAAUAAAGUGAGCAGCAGUUGCACAACCGGAAAUUCCUUGUUGAAUAGGGAGGACAGAGGGGUCAGAGGAGAAUGGACUAACUGGUUCAAGCUGACAGGAAGCCUACAUUAAAUCUAACACAUUUGUGGUGAGCAGAAAAGCAUCAGAACAUAUAACAUGUCAAACCUUAAGGUGGAUCAUUUUAGAUUCCACUCCUGUCAGCCAAUAACAGUGAUCUUAGGCUUCUGGAGAUUGGAAAAAAAAAGACCAGAGGCUAUUUUUACAUUAUUCAUAUUUCAGAUGUCCAGUUUCAGUGAACCAGUGCUCAAAAUAAAUAUGGGUUAAGUGAGUUAUAUACUGUAGUAUAUACUGUAAGGUGUUUUUUGCUCUUUUGGCUGCUCCCUGUUUGGGGUUUGCCACAGCGGAUCAUUUAGUCUAAAUCAGGGGUGUCCAAUCUUAUCCAGAAAUGGCUGGUGUGGGUGCAGGCUUUCAUUCCAGCCAAGCAGGAGAUACACCUGAUUCCAACUGGCUAAUCAACUGAUCUUGGCUUUCAGUAGACUCAGGUGUGGCUUCUGCUCAGUUGGAACGAAAACCUGCACCCACACCAGCCCUUUGCGAAUAAGAUUGGACAUCCCUGAUCUAAAUGUUUCAGUUUGGCACAGGUUUUACACAGGAUGCCCUUCCUGACACAACCCUCUUAUUUAAUCUGGGCUUGGGAUUGGCACUGAGAGUUAACUCUUCAGUGGCUGGGUUAGCGCCCUACCCAGGAAUCGAACCCGGGCCUUGGAAAUGUGGGCGUGGGAUCCUGCUGCUGGACCACCAGGAGGCUACACUGUAGUAUUUUAUCCCGGUUGAAACACACCCAAGUCUAUUGUGAGCUUAUACCAGAGGACCUGGACUUCAUGCAGUAUCCUGAGCUUGGGUUCUCGAAUCAAUGACCUUGGAACUGUGACGUGUCAGUGGUACCCUCUGCAUCACCAUGCCUUACUGCCUCAUGCCUUAUUAGUAGGUCAGUUUGUUGGGUCCAUAUGACCCUUGCAACUUGAACAUAAUGUACAUAGUAUAAUGCUUUGGAUCAACCUGUUAUUAAUGUCAGUAGAUCAAUAAUGUUGAAUGUUAUAUGCUCUUAUGUGAACCAGGACAAGAUCAGGCAUGACUAAUAAAUGUUUACGCCUUCCAGAUUGGAACUCUGGGAAAUAAAGUCUCAUGACUGCUUCAAAAAUGAAAGCAUUGUCUGUUUUUACAGGUCUGAAAAGUGGUGUUAUCUGGAAAUUACUUUGGGAUCAUUGUGUCUUAUAUGCCAUGAGUUUGAACUGAGGCCAGAUUUCAUUUCCCUUCCCCCCCUUUCCACCAUCCACAAACAUUAGAGCUUCUUGAUUUUGUAAACUUGGCAAAAGGACAGCUGGAAGGCUGACAGUUUAGUUAGCCAGUGCAGCUGUGAGGUCCCAGUGCUGCGAGAGCUUGUGAUUUUGGGGAAAAAGAAACCUAACUUGCACUACCAAAGAAUGAUGGCAGUCAGAGCCAACACUUAUCCCUCUUUAAUCAAUGCAUUACAUAAACUUCAUUGGGAUUUUUUAGUUUGAUUUACACAAUAUGUCUAACUUUUGAGGGUGCAAGAACAUUAUUGUAACAUAAAUGAUAAAUAAACCAAAAAGCAUAUAUUUGUUUGAUGCAUUAAUAUUUGAAACCCACAUGUGUAGCUUUAGCACUAUGCUCAGUUUUGUUGCAAAGCUUCCUUCUACACUCAAAUCUCUUGCAAAAUUGAGCAAGUUCAUUUAGAAUUGAAUGUACAUGGAUGACUCUGUUCAUCUUACUCUCACCUCUGACCAGUUUCCAAGUCCCUGCUGAUAAAAAAAAGCAUCCUCACAACAUAUGC